AUUGAGCUGACGAGUCCCAAAUAGGACAAAACGCACGUCCUUCAU
rfam:Schistosoma rodhaini strain Burundi genome assembly, scaffold: SROB_scaffold0001527